CGAGUUGAGUUUUUCUCUAAACUAUUGUGUUUGAAGUAUUUUUCUUUAAAGCGUGAAAAAACAGUUAUAAUUGUCAUGCUAAAACCAGUUGGUUAUGCAUGCUCAGUAUUCCAUUGUUUCGACCAAAACGCCCAUGAACAUCAAGACAGGGUGCAUAAUGAUAAAUUGACUCAUUCAUGUCCAGACUCGAUGAUUCACUCUAACAGGGAGGGACUAACAUGCCCUCUACGGGGUGCUGCUUUAGAAUCUCGGGUAAAUUACAUAAAACUACCUUAAUUAUUGGGUCAGUCACAAUUUCAUACUUCAUCUUUAAAAUAUUUUAAUCGCAUACCUCAUCUACAAAUUUGUUACAAUUUCAUACAUUGUGUCAAUUUGUCUGUCAAUUCUUCCGUUAAAGUGACAUGGUUUGGCAAGUCUGAAAACAGAUUAGAAAUACUGAGUUUUAUGAGAUCUAUUUGGCAAGAUUAUCUUCCUUUCUCCUAAAUACUGAGUUUUAUGAGAUCAUACCAUUCUAUAUUUAUUGUAUAAUCUUAUGCAGUCAGAAGAAUUAUCAUCUUUUCCCCUUCAGAUUUCAACAUAUUUGGAAAUACUUCAAUUUUUUUGUAGUGCUGUUUGUAGUUAACAUGAUUGCAUAAGUUCUGUUUCCUUAGUAAAUUUUUAUGCAGAAAAGAAAGUCAUUUCUCAUUUUGUAUAUGGCAGAGUGGACAGUGACUUAAAAUUCAUGCUUUUUUCCUCCCUAUUUAUUACCUUUUUCGACUACAUAAUAGUUCUGACUCGAACCCAGUUUGUAAUACUCAUUUACAUGAGAGCUGAUAUGAAUUUUUGGGAUCAAUUGACGUUGACUACUCGCUAAUUUGAAAUACUUAAAUUAUAACUUUUCUUUAAUUCCUUUUCCUUUUGUAUUUUCAUUGGAUUUGUUUCAUUUUUCUGCUUGAUUCAUCUUAAGAAUGUUUGCAUCUUAAUACUUACUUAGAAUAUUUUAAUUUGUCCCCUUUCCUAUAAAAUUUUGUGCAAUGUGAACAAACAUGCCUACUCAGCCUCUGAAAUACAGAGCUGAUGAUGAGAGGAACCAGAUGAGCUGGAAUCGCGUGAAUCAUUCUAAAUUAUUCGUUGAGUUACUACUAGAAAAUAUGCAAGGUUGCCCAGUUCACUUUUGUAUUUUCAUCAUCUUAAACAUUUUCCUUUGAUAGUUCUUUGUUUUGAUUUAUGAACGAGCCAUAAACCUUAUCUUUAUUAUGGGUCACAGUGCAACGUUUAACGAUUGAAUUUGUGAGAUAAUUUAGCAAUUCUUUCAUAAACUUAUUAUUACAUGGUCAAAUAUUAUGUCUUCUACUUUCCUGCUUUUCUUUUUUUGUGUUUUCCCCAUGUGGUAGCCUGAUCACUUGAAAGUAUGAGUAUAAUAGUGAUGGUAAACGAUCUACAAAUGAAUGCUUUUUUAUACCAUGGAUAUCCAUAUAUAGCAAACAAAGUUUCACUUUGUUAGUUCUUAGGUGCUACACCGUCUUUUAAAUUACUCUGUGUAGAGAUUAUUCAUGCCUGUUGCGGCUAAUACAUUCAAUCCCGCAGUAAAGCGCGGACAUAUUUUGUAGUUGAAUACGAAAAAAGGGAAACGGAAGACAUCCCAAAAACACAACCACAAUUUGAAGCAAAAUCAUAAUUACACAAUUAAGAUGGCAAUCCAAUCCACUAACCCAGCAAAACAACAUUAAGUGUUGAGAAUGAGUCCACAUUGAUGAGAGGAAGGACUUUGUCCAGGCUUAUAAGAGGUUAGGCUCCCUAUAUUGCCAAUUGAUUUUAUGGUGAAUCCUAACUUUUUUCAUGGUAUUAGAGCAGGUUGUCUCACAUGUGAAGCCAAAUGGCUACACACACUCCACAAUGGUUACACACACUCCACGUCACCUAGUUGUGUUGUCCACGUGUUAAGCUUGUAAAUUCGCGACACGUGAGGAGGUGUAUUGAGAAUGAGUCCCACAUUGAUAGGAUGAGGGAUCUUGCAUGGGCUUCUAAGAGGUUGAGCUACUUCCUAUAUUGCCAAUUUAUUUUAUAAUGGAACCCCAACUUUUUUCAUUAAGAAAUCAGACACUGCAAUAUUCUAUAGAAAAAAGGAGGCAGAGUUGAGUCGCCUCUAACGCGUUGUUCAGCUACUCUGAGUAUGUCAAGCAUCUCUACCCAACUUUCAUUCAAUACAGAUCGGCAUGAAAGACUAAAAACCUAGCGAAUUCAGAAUUUAUAAUUCAAAAAGUUAGGGCACCCAAAUCCAAUAACUUGUUCGUCUUCGGAUCACACUCUGACUCCAUCCGUGUAUUUCUUUUCCUUCCUCUGCUGGGACUCCAAUUUCACGAUGCAGCAGAAAGCACCAAACGAAGAUCAUCAGCUAUGAUGCAGGUCUGUUGUCGAUCUCUACAUGUUGGACGUCUAUGAGGCGGUGCGACGCGGAAGAAGUAGGGAGCGAAGGUACGAAGGAGAAGGGAGAGGGCGAGAUUAAAGGCGGCUUAGCAAUCCUCUACUUUUCUGAGGGGUCUCGCUGAGACUUCCAUUGAGGGACUUAGCCCCAGUUUGGGGUUGAGGUGAUUUUUUAAAAAGCUGCCAUGAAAAAAAGCUGAUAAGGAUUUUGGUGUUUGGUAAACAUCCCAAAACAACUUUAUUUCAAAGUUUCACAUGAAAAAAAGCCAAAAAGUGGAAGCUGCAUUUUGCAGCUUCCACAAGCCGCUUAUUUUUCCAAAACGCGGAGCUACAGUACCCCAUUAAUGAAUUUUUUCAAUUUACCAAACCUGCCCCCUCCUUUCUCCUUUCUCCUUCUCCCGAUCCUACACUCUGCACUCUCUCCUUCUCUGUUGCAAAAAACUCCCGCCGCUGCACUCUACACCCCUCUUCCCUCCCGCCGCUGCACCUCUUCCUCCUCCUUCUUUUCGUUUCUCUCCGUCACUCUCAACGCCACACCGCCGUCGCCUUCCAGCCUUCAAUCUCAAUGCCCCAUUUCGAUCUCCCCCCACCCACCCCUCAAGGUUUUAAAUGCAAAAGGAUAGUUGCUGUGAUGUGCAUUAGAGUGAUGAAAGAAAAGAUGAAAUUUUGAAAGAAUUUGGAUUUGUUAAGUCGCUGUAUUUGUGAUCAAUGAGCUAAAGAAGGAAAUUAGUUGAUGGUCUUAAGCAGCUUGGUGUGGAUGCUGAUUGUUUUCUUGGAACAAACUGCCCUCCUGUCCGUGUGAUUGGAAAGGGAGGCCUUCCAGGGGGGAAGGUGAAGCUCUCUAGGGUCUCAGUGGAACGCUUUGGGGUCUCAGUGGAACACAGUGAUAGUUGGGAUCGGUUUUUGAUCCGAGGAGGUCAAAAGUACAAAUAGAAUGGCUGACUGCAGGAGAUUGCAUAGCUGGAGUGCAUGAAGUUAUCGUAACAAACAGGACGAUUGAUGCAAUCAAACUAGCAACGGAGCAAAAUCGCUUACUAUGGAGAGUAUCUUCAACAUUGUUUGCGCACAUAGCAUCUGAUGCUGUGUUGAAGCCCUUAGGUCACUUUGCAGAAUCCCCGCUUGCAAGUAAAUACCCGCCCAUUCAUGCAGGAGAGUUUGUUGAACAGGAGCUUGCAGUAAUCAAUCUCAAAGGAAACAAAGAUUAAGUUUGACAACUUGUUACAUGUUGAAAUCAUAACGUAUUAUAACGAUCAGAACAACAUUGUGAAAAGGCGUUUGUGGUUGAUCUGAAUUGUAAUAAAGAAGGUCGGGUACGGCCAAUUGUGUCGUUUCAUUAUUUAUCUCUUUAUCAUGUACUGACAUUCUUUUGCUCCUCCAGCAAUUAUAGUUUUACCAUUUCUUUGCA